ACACCGUUGGUGAAGUGGUUAUCAUGCUUGCCUUCCAUUCACAGUUGAAGCAAGCGGCUCGGGUUCGAUUCCCGAACGGUGUA